AGGAAUCUGCCUAUUAAUGGGGGACAACAUCUCGAAAGGGAUGCUAAUACCGCAUACGCCCUACGGGGGAAAGCAGGGGAUCACUUGUGACCUUGCGUUAAUAGAUGAGCCUAAGUCGGAUUAGCUAGUUGGUGGGGUAAAGGCCUACCAAGGCGACGAUCUGUAGCGGGUCUGAGAGGAUGAUCCGCCACACUGGGACUGAGACACGGCCCAGACUCCUACGGGAGGCAGCAGUGGGGAAUAUUGGACAAUGGGGGGAACCCUGAUCCAGCCAUGCCGCGUGUGUGAAGAAGGCCUUAUGGUUGUAAAGCACUUUAAGCGAGGAGGAGGCUCUUUUGGUUAAUACCCAAGAUGAGUGGACGUUACUCGCAGAAUAAGCACCGGCUAACUCUGUGCCAGCAGCCGCGGUAAUACAGAGGGUGCGAGCGUUAAUCGGAUUUACUGGGCGUAAAGCGUGCGUAGGCGGCUUUUUAAGUCGGAUGUGAAAUCCCCGAGCUUAACUUGGGAAUUGCAUUCGAUACUGGGAAGCUAGAGUAUGGGAGAGGAUGGUAGAAUUCCAGGU
rnacentral:rRNA from 1 species